rnacentral:lncRNA from 1 species
GGAACUGAGGAUGAUGAAUUCUUCAAGAACAAAGGGGGAGAUGUGAACAAAGGGGGAGAAGGUAUAAGAAUUUAAGGCUAAUCAUUUUUGAGUGAUUUGUUUUGCAGGAUUUCAAGACUUCAAGACUCCUAGUUGCGUCUAAGUCAUAGAGUCUGUUUUAGGAGUUUUGAUGUAAUUCUGAGUUUCAUAUUGUAUUUGGAUUACACGCGAGGAGUUCAAUGUUUUGGUGAUGACAAUUGAACUUCGUUUUUCUUUAAAUUGUAAUUUUUGAGUUUGUGUGAGUUUUGUCACGAAAAUUGCCAAAGGGGGAGAUUGUUAAGGAUUUUGUAUUGGCAAGUUUCGUGAAGUGAGUCGGAGUCUUGAAGAAUCGAAGCGAAUUGAUAAAGAUCAAAGAAUUCAAGAUUUCGGAAAAAUCAGAAAAUA